rnacentral:rRNA from 1 species
AUUGAACGCUGGCGGCAGGCUUAACACAUGCAAGUCGAGCGGGGUGAUGGUGCUUGCACUAUCACUUAGCGGCGGACGGGUGAGUAAUGCUUAGGAAUCUGCCUAUUAGUGGGGGACAACAUCUCGAAAGGGAUGCUAAUACCGCAUACGUCCUACGGGAGAAAGCAGGGGAUCACUUGUGACCUUGCGCUAAUAGAUGAGCCUAAGUGGGAUUAGCUAGUUGGUGGGGUAAAGGCCUACCAAGGCGACGAUCUGUAGCGGGUCUGAGAGGAUGAUCCGCCACACGGGGACUGAGACGCGGCCCAGAGUCCUACGGGAGGCAGCAGUGGGGGAUAUUGGACAAUGGGGGGAACCCUGAGCCAGCCAUGCCGCGUGUGUGAAGAAGGCCUUAUGGUUGUAAAGCACUUUAAGCGAGGAGGAGGCUCUUUUGGUUAAUACCCAAGAUGAGUGGACGUUACUCGCAGAAUAAGCACCGGCUAACUCUGUGCCAGCCGCCGCAGUAA